rnacentral:misc_RNA from 1 species
AAUUCUCAACCUCACCUGGUUUCUGACUUGUGUGAUGGCUUGGAUUUGGGAGUUGUGCAGGCUGUAGUUAUCUGCGGCUCUGCUCUCCUUAAAUGUAUUAGCAGGUCUUUUACCUCUAUCCCAACAGUGUGAUAAUCUAUCUACGCUGCUGGUUUGGAGACCCACUUGUGGGGGACUGGCUUCUAAUCGUCUGAAAAGACAACUUGACAU